ensembl:lncRNA
ACAUUUUACUGGGGAUCCUUGUCUACUGGAGGUCUUCUAAAGAGUGGGUUCCCUCCAAACUGAUCCUGCGUGGGCUUCCUGUAGCUCUUAAAGCACAGCACCAACAUGGCUCCAGCUCUAUAGCGUGGGGCCAAUCCUUCAGAACUGCACUGUCCCACUAUGGGCUGCUCCCCACAGGCUGCUGCUCCAUUCUGGAGCUUCUCCUAGAGGGGUACCUGUGGGCUGUGGUUCAUUCAGACCCCAUCUUCUACUGCUCGUGGUCUCCUCCAUAGUUGCAUGCAGAGAUUUGCUCCAUAUGGUGUCCAUGGGCUGCAGGGGGACAGUCUGGUCUACCACAGGCCUGUCUAGGGAGCUUCUGCUCUGCACCUGGAGCACAGCCUGCCCUCCUACAUUGACCUUGGUGGCUCCAGGGCUGCUUCUCUCCCAUUUCUCACUCCUCUCUCCCACUUGCUGUAAUGCAGCAGUGUUUCCCUUUCUUAAAUCUGCUCUCCCUGAGUAGACCCAGCAUCACUCAUGAAAGCUCUAGCAGUGGCAGGUACCUGCUGGAGCAGCUGCUGUGCUCUGACAUGGGGAAGCGCUGAGUUCUGCUCACAGAAGCCACUCCUGCAGUCCCCUGCUAGCAAAACCUUGCCACAAACUUAAUAAGGUGAUGUGCAUUGUUAAUGCUGAAAUCCAUCUAAACUUGGCAACUACACUCAGUCCUCAUCUCCCUUCCAGCCUAUCUUUGGCAUGGUCAACAUAGCAGUGUGUAGAUCCUUGGGAAAUUGAAAAGCAGAAGUGUAAAUCUAAUAUUUAAAAAAAAAACUUUGCAGUCACAAGAAAUUCUGCUCUUGGUCUCAGUGAGACUAAAAUGUCAUUCUGAAUAACUGAGACAGGCUGUCCUGUGGACUCUAAUAAUCCUUUCCAGGAAUAAUCUAUUAUAUUUUUCUGGAAGAUUGUUCAAGCAGUCACAGAAUUUCCAGUUUGCUUCACCAUGUGAGCACUGCAAACAAAAAGCCAUUCACUGACUCUGUAAAGAUAUUUUUAAUAAUUGUUUAUUAAGCCAACAUAAUUUACUAUUCAUAUCUAUAAUACAUUUUCUAUGUAGAAGUUCUAUCUAGAUCACAUCUGUCCAGCAUGUAUUCUAAGCUAACAGAUUAGGAGUCCCUGGAUUGAGCUCUAUUUAGCUGGGCAGAUGUUGGCUGCCUGCUGGAGAGCUUAUACAGUGAUGGUUCUCCAUUAUUUAAGGCAGUAAUAUAGUGGAGCAAGAAUGAAAAGAGGAGCACUAGAGACCAUGCAUCUUCACUGUCUGUGUGAAGUUUUGUAACAUAUAUGAAAAGUCUCCUCAUGUAAUUUACAUUAUUAUUUUACUGUCACUGAUUGGUAGUGAUUUUGGUGAAGCCCUGGGGUGACUUCAUGGAAGACAUUUGUAAAUUUUCAUGUAAAUGAUUGUUUGCUUGAUGAGCAGUAGCAUGAAAAAUAAAUCACCAUCAUUUUAUGACAAUCUCCAUAGUAUGGCAGAGAAAAGACUUUUGCCCCACUAACGCAGAAAUAUAGCAUAAGAAAGAUUCAUGUGCGUAAGAUAGAAACGAGUCUUGCAGGCUCUUUCACAACAGCAUUAAUAACUAUAAGAAACCUUGAGGAGGAAAAAAGAAAAAAGAGAAGAUUUUUUUAGCUACUCCCACUGAUUCUAGCAGAUCACGUGUAAAGGCUACAGUGAACAAUGACAUCUACUGAUUUAGAGGCCAGGUAUAUUUAUGAAUGAGUUUGAUCAUGUCACAAGAUUUGAAAAUGUUAGAGAUAAAGUGAUAGGAGAAGGAGGAGGGAGGAGUACCUGGGAGAGUCUAGCUGAAAUUUGUAUUGCCACAAGGUACCACAAUAUUGGGAUAAAAGGUAGAAGUUUCUUUGACCCUAAAUGAAAAGCAUAUCAAGUGGGGAAGGAAACAAAAGUAAUUCAUGUAAGAGAAAUUGCUACAGUUUUUGAAAAGAAAAAGAAGCAGACAUGGCAAUCUAUGGAGAAUUUCCACUGAAAUUUCAAAGUAAAACGUACCACUGUAAUAAAUUAUCCAACUG